rnacentral:rRNA from 1 species
GGUGGGGAUGACGUCAAAUCAUCAUGCCCCUUAUGACCUGGGCUACACACGUGCUACAAUGGACGAUACAAACGGUUGCCAACUCGCGAGAGGGAGCUAAUCCGAUAAAGUCGUUCUCAGUUCGGAUUGUAGGCUGCAACUCGCCUACAUGAAGCCGGAAUCGCUAGUAAUCGCGGAUCAGCAUGCCGCGGUGAAUACGUUCCCGGGCCUUGUACACACCGCCCGUCACACCACGAGAGUUUGUAACACCCGAAGUCGGUGAGGUAACCUUUUGGAGCCAGCCGC